UACGUAGGGUGCAAGCGUUGUCCGGAAUUAUUGGGCGUAAAGAGCUCGUAGGCGGCCUGUCGCGUCGGCUGUGAAAACCCGGGGCUUAACCCUGAGCUUGCGGUCGAUACGGGCAUGACUGGAGUUCGGCAGGGGAGACUGGAAUUCCUGGUGUAGCGGUGAAAUGCGCAGAUAUCAGGAGGAACACCGGUGGCGAAGGCGGGUCUCUGGGCCGAUACUGACGCUGAGGAGCGAAAGCGUGGGGAGCGAACAGG
rnacentral:rRNA from 1 species